rnacentral:lncRNA from 1 species
CUACCGACUAGAAGUAGAACUUACUUAAUUUUUAUGGUAUCCUAAAAGUAAAAAAAUCCUAGUUAAAUUGAUACCCAAAGGGAAUGAAUGGGUGACUGUGGUAAAAGCAGGCAUGAGUUGACGCCCCAUUUGCUUCACUGCGAUCACGUAUUAUAAUUAUAAUAAACCUUCAGGAUAAUCAUUGACAGUCAUAAUUUCAUAAUUAACACGACAUUAAGGCUAUUCGACAGGAACUUUCUUCAAGGGUUGUUAGAUUUUUAGCCUCUUCGAUAUGACGAACCUGAGUAUGUGUUAUCUGAAUAUAUGUAGAUAUUUGUUAGCAGCAUAACAGAAUUUACUGCCCCACUCUCUGCACAAGUUAUUGUCGAAUGUCAAUACACUCUGAAAGUCACAACAACUUCAAUAAAACGCCGGGAUUAUAUGCUGCCUAGGUUGAUAAAUAUCACUUCAGAUAACUUAUCACAAAGAUAAUGCUUAGCGAAGUAACAUGUUUUCACAAUAACAUCCCACGCAGCGGGAGAUCCAACGAACCACCAUAUUAUUAGUUCAGAAAUUAACAAUUUAAAUUACUUAUUAUUUUUGUGAAAAUUUAUGACCUGUGCUGUGUACGUUUUUAAUUACGUUAAUCAAGAUUACAGUUUUGAAUUACGUACAUAAUAAAUUAAAGUUGAAUUAAAUAAUUUUAAUACGCAGCGAUGGCGCCUCGGCAGGACAUCGUAGCCCAGCCACAGCCGAUCAGAAUAGAGCAGGGGAGGCAGCCCCCACCGCCGCCGGCUCCCGGGCGCCUCCAGCGACCCCCGCACGACAACCCCACCGUCUAUAUAAACAGGCCCACGAAUAUACCUCGCAACAAUGUCAACACCAGUGAAAUCGCUCGCACGUAGGAAAAUAUACUCAAUGACAACAAAAUUGUAUUUUCAGGCUAGACGGGACAUUCACGAAUUUAUUUUCAUUAAGAAUUUUCAUGGCUAAAAGGCUCUUAUCUCGCUUGAAUUAAAACUAAACUUUCAUUGCGUUCAUAAAUAAUUUUAUUGAAAGGAAAAUAAAUUGUUUCUGGAUCGUCGACCGUCGUUAACGUUUUGAUAGAAAAUCUACCGUUUUAACGCAAUGUUAAUAAAUUAUUUUUUUAGUUCACUGCAUGUACUGUAUCUAGUUUUCUAGGUUGUCUUCUAUAAAGUAAGCACUUUGUUUCUAGUGACGCGGUUUAAGUGCAUUGGACAUUUUAUUCUAUUUCCCAAUUUGUUCUUUUAGAACAAAAUGAGAAACGAACUCUGUAAAAAAAAUCUAAAAGCUAUACCUAUACGUAUUUCCUUCUUAAAUUACUAGUAGAUAAUUUCUAGUUACACUUCUCAGAGUCAGCAAUCAGCAUUUUAGAUAAUUAAAUCUUAUUAAAAAACAAACAAUUGCAAAAAAGCUUCUUUCUGAAUAUUUUUUUUCUGAACCACUCUCGGCCCAUUUGGCAAAAUUAGUUAUAACUUUCAAUUUUCAAAAAAAAAACGAUACAUAGUGCUAAUUUUACCCAAUAAGUGAUCGUAACCACUAAUUUGAAACUAAGCGAUUAUAGUAGUGUAUUCAAAUAGAUUAUAUUUAUAGUGUAGUUUAUAAUUUUAUGUAAUUAGUUUAAGAUAAAUAAGACCUAGUUACUGUAUAUAUUAGAAAUAGGUAAUAUAAUAAUAUCUGAAUAAAUUAUGGUUGUAAUUUAAA